GUGUGUGUGUGUGAGUGAGACACACUGUGAAACAGAUUGAGUGUGUGAGGCAGUGUAUACAUGACAGGGAUUGUGGAACAGACUGGGGGUAUGUGACAGUCACACAGAGUGUAGGUGCUGGUUGCUGCUAGCUAGCAGGAGAAUCCUGGGAGCAACGCUGCUGCAAGACAGAGCAAGGGAAGGGUCAGAAGAACACAUGCUACCCACUACACAAGUGCUGUUGGAACAGAUUGUUUCCUAUUGUACAAAUCCCAAUGACAUCUGAUUCAUCCACUGGCAGCCAUCCAAGCCUAUCUGGACAAACAGGCCUCACUGAACUGAGGACUUCAGGUUUUUUUCCACUGUGUUUAUCAGCAGUUUCAUGCUGUUGAAGUGAUCUCGGCAGUACCAUUCCUGGUAAUCCCUCACUCUCGUUGUGCAUUGUUCUUUUGAAACACAGCUCUCCUUGCUUCUGCUAGGUUUAUUAUCUUUCAAGACUUGUGUCUAUGAAGUAGGUAUAAUUACAUCACAUUCUUUAUGAGCAUGUUGUAAAAAAAUCAAUAUACUGUAAACCAUAAUACAA